rnacentral:rRNA from 1 species
GAUGAACGCUAGCGGCAGGCCUAACACAUGCAAGUCGAGGGGUAUUAGGAGCUUGCUCCUAAGAGACCGGUGCACGGGUGCGUAACGCGUAUGCAAUCUACCUUUUACAGGGGAAUAGCCCAGAGAAAUUUGGAUUAAUGCCCCAUGGUAUAUAUGAAUCGCGUGGUUUAUAUAUUAAAGUUCCAACGGUAAAAGAUGAGCAUGCGUCCCAUUAGUUAGUUGGUAAGGUAACGGCUUACCAAGACGAUGAUGGGUAGGGGUCCUGAGAGGGAGAUCCCCCACACUGGUACUGAGACACGGACCAGACUCCUACGGGAGGCAGCAGUGAGGAAUAUUGGACAAUGGGCGCAAGCCUGAUCCAGCCAUGCCGCGUGCAGGAAGAAGCAUCUAUGGUGUGUAAACUGCUUUUGUACGGGAAGAAACAUCACUACGUGUAGUGACUUGACGGUACCGUAAGAAUAAGGAUCGGCUAACUCCGUGCCAGCAGCCGCGGUAA